rnacentral:piRNA from 1 species
UGAAUUCCAUACAGCACAAACUCAGUAUGU